rnacentral:piRNA from 1 species
UGAUGUUGGGGUGGAUGAAAAACUUCAUU